rnacentral:rRNA from 1 species
AUUGAACGCUGGCGGCAGGCCUAACACAUGCAAGUCGAACGAGUGGCGGACGGGUGAGUAAUGUCUGGGAAACUGCCUGAUGGAGGGGGCUCACUACUGGAAACGGUGGCUAAUACCGCAUAACAUCAGAUGUGCCCAGAUGGGAUUAGCUUGUUGGGGGGGUAACGGCUGACAAAGGCGUCGAUCCCUAGCUGGUCUGAGAGGAGGACCAGCCACACUGGAACUGAGACACGGCCCAGACUCCUACGGGAGGCAGCAGUGGGGAAUAUUGGACAAUGGGCGAAAGCCUGAUCCAGCCAUGCCGCGUGAGUGAAGAAGGCCUUCGGGUUGUAAAGCACUGUCAGCAGGGAGGCGUUACCUGCAGAAGAAGCACCGGCUAACUCCGUGCCAGCAGCCGCGGUAAUAC